rnacentral:tmRNA from 1 species
GGGGCUGUACAGGUUUCGACAGGGAUAGAGAACGGAAGGAAGCGAGCCGUGUUUCACGCCUGGGGUACACGAAAAAGAACUGGGCAAUUAAAAUCAAAGGCAAACAAUAACGUUGCUUACGCUGCUUAAUUAAGCAGCAUCGCUGCUCAGGCCUUUCGCACUUGACGCAGAGCAAGCGAUAAAUCAUCAAGUGUAGGAUCAGGAUCUUUCUCCGAGGUCCUGUGGUAAUAAAGGAGAACACCAUUGCAAAGUUUGAUGUUUUGUAUGCGGUGGUUAAGAAAAGCAUCUGCGCUCGGAGAAGCUUUCGCUAUUUAUUUUUGGACGCGGGUUCGAUUCCCGCCAGCUCCACCA